GAUCCUGGCUCAGGAUGAACGCUAGCGACAGGCUUAACACAUGCAAGUCGAGGGGCAGCAUGAACUUAGCUUGCUAAGUUUGAUGGCGACCGGCGCACGGGUGAGUAACACGUAUGCAAUCCACCUGUAACAGGGGGAUAACCCGGAGAAAUCCGGACUAAUACCCCAUAAUAUGGGCGCUCCGCAUGGAGAGUCCAUUAAAGAGAGCAAUCUUGGUUACAGACGAGC
rnacentral:rRNA from 1 species